AAAUAGCUCAGCGGUAGAGCGGGAGACUGUAGUUUCAGUGUACAUUGAUGUAGUAAUCUCUAGGUCCCUGGUUCAAAUCCGGGUUUUCGGA
rnacentral:tRNA from 1 species